rnacentral:miRNA from 1 species
CUGCAUACACAGUGAUAUUCUG